rnacentral:misc_RNA from 1 species
UUUGUUAUUAUUGAUUAAACAACAAUGUUUUACCCGUGCCCUACAUCCAAAUAUUUUCUAGAAAAUAAAUUCAAAUGGUGAAAUACGUAACUGGAAAACCAAAUCAUGUUGCACCAGAGGUAGAGAUUACGCUAAAACAUCUGGCUGUCAUACCUAGUACCAAACAAACAAUAAAUAUCUUCAAAAAAAAAUGCAGUAUAUGCAGCUCCACAAAAUCAUCAGCCAAAGUCAGAUUACAGUGCUCUUUAUCAAAAAGUUUUAAUUUCCAAUGUCACAAUAACUUGUAAAUUCACAGCUGUUGCUUGAAAUCUAUCCCGUCCAACCCUUCAGUCUUCACUGUUCUCUUAGCCAUCCAGGUCCCAUUUCCUCAUUGCCAUCAUUCCAGUUAGUCCUCCAACUCUCGCCCAUCUGAUUGCUCACGGGCCACAGCUCUCUUGUCCAUCCAGGUCCCGUUUCAUCAUUGCCCCUAUUCCCAUGUUCGUUACCACUGCUUCCCUUUUUGACUUGAGCUGCUCUGCUCUCUCUUGCCACCCCGCUUCCAACAACUCAAUAAACCUAUUCUUGAUUUCACGCAAUGGAUCCGUAUUAAUCAACUCGCUAUCCUUAUAAGCUUCCCUUAGCAUUGCAGUCUUAAUCCCCCCUUUCAAUGACAUGUAAAAUAUUCCAGAUGCCUGGUGAAAACACUUGAAAAUGCAUUGGACAACCUAUACUCUUCACUAAACUUGCCCACUAUUGGCACUGGAAUCCUCUUAAAUAGCAAGAGUGAUAGCAACUCAUGGAAAACCCCGACAGCCCUCUUUUCCAUUUCCGGUGAAGCUUGAUCCAAGUGUGACACGUCCACAUAUGGUGAAAGGUAAUCAAGUUCUAACCAAUCCCUAACCCACUCUGUCAUUUCCUUUCGGAGAAAAAACCCUUCAAAAACUUCCUCCCAAACACUUAUAUAAUUCUUGAACCAUUUAGUUUAAAUUGUGGUGCAAUCUGAUGAAACUGGAUCUUUACGAAUUACAACUGAAUUAUUAUUGCUCGACUCCAUGGUUCUUUGAGAUAAUGAACCUGUUAAGGGGUUGGUUGUAGUGGUAGUUUGCAUCAUCACUCAAAAUACAUUUUUAGAACCCCAAAUGAAUUGGCUCUUAGAUCUCCACUUAACCAAGCCAAAGGCAACUAAACGUGACUUUUCAAAAGAAUAAUUUUAACAGUUUCUCAUACAAGG